UGAAAUGGUGCGUGGUGAGACCUGUCUCCCCAACACAAGCUAGAAGACAACAAAAUAGCAGCCAGGAAACGCUCUGAUAAAGCUCUAGAUAGCUGCCAGGCCGAGCUCAAGGGAGCAGAACUAAGUUACAUGAUUCUGCUGCGGAUGUAUAAGCACCACUCCAAUAAUUUAUUAUCACGGUUGGAGACUUUGACUUGUCACUUUAUGACUUGAAAUAUGGCUCCAUGGUAAAUGCCCAUAAAGCUGAUUUUUAAAAUCUGGAUAUUACAGUUCUAAUUCUCACUUAGUUUAAAAGGUAGAAUAGGCUUCUUGUUUCAUAGAUCAUUUGUGUGAAUGUUGAUUUGUUAUGUCAUUGACAUCAUACACACAUGCUUACAUUUUGAAGGUUGCUAGCGUUUCCCAUUAAUGCUUCUGAAUUGAUGCCAAAGGAAAGCAUUGAUUAUAAAUUAGGUUCCUUGGUAUUAGUUGGUGCAUGACCCUGACCCUUUUCAAGCUAUAUGAAAGGUAAUGAUGCUCUCAAAAGCCUGCAAAAUGGCUUAUUCAGGAAAGCAUAAUGGAUUAAAAAUCCAUUA
rnacentral:lncRNA from 1 species